rnacentral:lncRNA from 1 species
CCUUAUUGAUGGCGAUCUUCCCUGGAGGAGGAUGGGACAUCCUCUCCUCAGGCCCCGGGAGCGUAACGUUGCAGGCCUCGGGAAGGUGGUACCGAGCCACGAGUUUGUCUAAGUCUUCGGCGACCAGCUCCGACUUAAUGUGGUCUGCUCUCACUUUGCCCAUUCCUAAUGGCCAAUAAACCUACGGUCAGGACGGGGACAAGAAGGGGGGAAAGACCGGGACGACUGGGGUACACUAGUACAAAAGGAGAAAGUAUGGAGAGCCCUAAGUAGAAGAAUGGGGUAACUCACCGGAAGAGAAGGAAGAACGGCUCCGACAGCGUCAAAGGAGAAGCAAGCGAACAGUCCGACGGCAACAACGGCAGCGCAAAGGGGAAACUCGAAAAUGUCUGUAAAGAGGAAGACGGACAGGGGAGGGCCCCCGGUUAAAUAGGCGGAAAGGCGGGUGAUGCCUCGAUGACGCCAGAGGACGCCUGGCCGCCGAAGGGUCGCUCGCGCCCCAAAGGCGAAUCGACACCAUUAAGGAAGGAUGUUCGCCGAAAUCCUCAGACUGCCAGGUCAGCAACAACCGCCAUACGCCAUAAAGAAGGCGGGGAGCUCGAAGCGCGCGCGCCUCUCCGAGGGAUGGCGGCAAUCUCGAAGCAUCACU